rnacentral:rRNA from 1 species
UACGUAGGGGGCAAGCGUUGUCCGGAAUCAUUGGGCGUAAAGCGCGUGUAGGCGGCUAGGUAAGUCUGCUCUGAAAGCCCGGGGCUCAACCCCGGGAGGCGGGUGGAUACUGUCUAGCUCGAGUCCGGAAGAGGAGUGUGGAAUUCCUGGUGUAGCGGUGAAAUGCGCAGAUAUCAGGAGGAACACCAAUGGCGAAGGCAGCACUCUGGGACGUGACUGACGCUGAGACGCGAAAGCGUUGGGAGCAAACAGG